GGAGUGGCUCAGAGAUAGAGCAUCUGUUGGCUUUGCAAGCCAAAAGUGCCGGGUUCAAACCCUGGUAUCUCCA
rnacentral:tRNA from 1 species